UGUCCACAUCCGCAUUUAGUAAAACCCCACCCACAGUGCAUUUGCAUAGCAGUGAGAGAACCAGGAUUUUCUGUGAGUGAAUCACACUC
rnacentral:sRNA from 1 species